AGGAAGUAUUUCAGUUAUUGGUUGAGCAAACCAAUUUAUUUGCCAACCAAUAUCUGACUGCGAAUCCGGGGUCACAUUACAAUCGGCGUAAUAUGUGGCACCCCACGGAUCUCGCAGAAAUGCGCAAAUUUUGGGCCCUAACUCUAGUUAUGGGCAUUGUCAAAAAGCCAAGUAUCAGGUCCUACUGGUACAAGCACCCCAUCCUGGCUACCCCUCUUUUCCCUGGGGUUAUGAAGAGGGAUCUCUAUGAGCAGCUGCUGCGUUUCCUCCACUUUAACGACAACACACUGUGCCCCCCAAGAAACGACCCAUUGUUUGACAGGCUGUACAAAAUUCGGCCCCUAAUUGAACUCCUGUCAGACAAAUUCUCCCAAAAUUAUG